rnacentral:rRNA from 1 species
AGCCUGACGCUCCGUGUUAGGUGAAGCCUGCCCAGUGCGAAAGUUAACGGCCGCAGUACCCUGACUGUGCUAAGGUAGCAUAAUCAGUUGGCUUUUAAAUGGAGUCGGGAAUGAAUGGACCUAUGGGGUUAAGCUGUCUCCCAAACAUUAUCUUGAAUUUACUUAUUAGGUGAAAAUGCCUAACUAUAGAAAAAAGACGAGAAGACCCUAGGAGUUUUUACUAAAGAUAUAAUAUCUACGUUUUUGUUGGGGCGACAAGAGAGGAAGUAGAACCUCUUUUUAGUAUUAGCCGACUUAGUAUGAAAAUUUAAACUACCCUAGGGAUAACAGCGUAAUUCUUUGUGAGUUUGCGACCUCGAUGUUGGACUAGGAACUUAGUGGGUUAGCCGCCUACUAACAUUGUUCUGUUCGAACAGUUUUUCCU